rnacentral:rRNA from 1 species
AACGAACGCUGGCGGCAUGCCUAACACAUGCAAGUCGAACGAGAUCUUCGGGUCUAGUGGCGCACGGGUGCGUAACGCGUGGGAAUCUGCCCUUUGGUUCGGAAUAACAGUUGGAAACGACUGCUAAUGCCGGAUGAUGACGAAAGUCCAAAGAUUUAUCGCCAGAGGAUGAGCCCGCGUAGGAUUAGCUAGUUGGUGUGGUAAAGGCGCACCAAGGCGACGAUCCUUAGCUGGUCUGAGAGGAUGAUCAGCCACACUGGGACUGAGACACGGCCCAGACUCCUACGGGAGGCAGCAGUGGGGAAUAUUGGACAAUGGGCGAAAGCCUGAUCCAGCAAUGCCGCGUGAGUGAUGAAGGCCUUAGGGUUGUAAAGCUCUUUUACCCGGGAUGAUAAUGACAGUACCGGGAGAAUAAGCUCCGGCUAACUCCGUGCCAGCCGCCGCAGUAAGAC